AUGGAGAAGAAAUCAGUAGCUGCCUUGUCCUUCCUCUUCCUCGUUCUCUUUGUUGCACAAGAAAUAGUGGUGACUGAGGCAAGAACUUGUGAGCAUUUGGCUGAUACAUACAGGGGACCAUGCUUCACGAAUGCUAGCUGUGACGAUCAUUGCAAGAACAAAGCACACUUAAUUAGUGGCACGUGCCAUAAUUAUCAAUGUUUCUGCACUCAAAACUGUUAA
rnacentral:lncRNA from 1 species